rnacentral:lncRNA from 1 species
AUUCCUUUGGAAUCUGCCAUCGGGAUAUUAAACCGCAGAACCUCUUGUUGGAUCCUGAUACUGCUGUAUUAAAACUCUGUGACUUUGGAAUGCAAAGCAGCUGGUCCGAGGAGAACCCAAUGUUUCGUAUAUCUGUUCUCGGUACUAUAGGGCACCAGAGUUGAUCUUUGGAGCCACUGAUUAUACCUCUAGUAUAAUGUAUGGUCUGCUGGCUGUGUGUUGGCUGAGCUGUUACUAGGACAACCAAUAUUUCCAGGGGAUAGUGGUGUGGAUCAGUUGGUAGAAAUAAUCAAGUCCUGGGAACUCCAACAAGGGAGCAAAUCAGAGAAAUGAACCCAAACUACACAGAAUUUAAAUUCCCUCAAAUUAAGGCACAUCCUUGGACUAAGUCUUCCGACCCCGAACUCCACCGGAGGCAAUUGCACUGUGUAGCCGUCUGCUGGAGUAUACACCAACUGCCCGACUAACACCACUGGAAGCUUGUGCACAUUCAUUUUUUGAUGAAUUACGGGACCCAAAUGUCAAACUACCAAAUGGGCGAGACACACCUGCACUCUUCAACUUCACCACUCAAAACUGUCAAGUAAUCCACCUCUGGCUACCAUCCUUAUUCCUCCUCAUGCUCGGAUUCAAGCAGCUGCUUCAACCCCCACAAAUGCCACAGC